CCUACGGGAGGCAGCAGUGAGGAAUAUUGGUCAAUGGUCGGGAGACUGAACCAGCCAAGCCGCGUGAGGGAUGAAGGUACAGAGUAUCGUAAACCUCUUUUGUCAGGGAGCAAAGGCGGGGACGUGUCCCCGGAUGAGUGUACCUGAAGAAAAAGCAUCGGCUAACUCCGUGCCAGCAGCCGCGGUAAUACGGAGGAUGCGAGCGUUAUCCGGUUUUAUUGGGUUUAAAGGGUGCGCAGGCGGUCUGUUAAGUCAGCGGUAAAAGCCCGGGGCUCAACCCCGGCCCGCCGUUGAAACUGGCAGUCUCGAGUUGGAGAGAAGUAUGCGGAAUGCGCGGUGUAGCGGUGAAAUGCAUAGAUAUCGCGCAGAACUCCGAUUGCGAAGGCAGCAUGCCGGCUCCACACUGACGCUGAGGCACGAAAGCGUGGGUAUCGAACAGGAUUAGAUACCCUUGUAGUC
rnacentral:rRNA from 1 species